ACCCAAAGAUUAGGGAAACGAAGCGACCAAGACGACACCAGCGACGUCUGGUGUUCCAGUUGUAAACAAAAUUGGUUGUUUUUGACGUUUUUGUCAGAAAAGGUUAGAAUCACAUUUCUGAAGUCUUUAAACAUCUUUUAGGUUAAAUCUUUGUUUUUAAUCGUGCUGUGUAUUUCUAAUCUUUGGGUGCUAUCUUGUGGCAUAUUACAAAGACGUUAUAGUAUUGUUGUGGUUAUAAAGCACACGUGUUAUUGAACUGUUCAUCAAAGAUUAAUAUUAAUUUGCUGUUCUUGUCAAGAUGAGUCGUGGUUCAUAUUGUUUGGUAUUAACCUGCCCGAACAAUAAAAAUAAAAACCCAAAGCUCGCGUUUUUUACAUUACCGAAGGACAUGAAAAUUGCCAAAAGAUGGAUCGAAUUCUCUGGACGCAAAGAUCACCUGGGUGCUUCGAAAGACUAUAGAAUGUGUAGUGAGCAUUUUUAAAGAAAACCAGUUCAAAUGCACGGACAUUGCUUUGGCGUGGAAGUAUUCUUCAUGUGAAUGGACCUAAAUCAGAUGUUCUUCCUGAAUCAGAGUCUGAGAUGAUCAUCCAUGAAGAAACUGUUAAAACGGAUCAAAACGUACCUCUAUCUAAUAUUGAAAGAUUCUGCGUUUGCUGUCAACUCAAAUGAAAAUUUUUCAAAAGAGGACACAUGAAUGCAAAUCAUAUUUAUGUUACACUGGAAUCAGAAGGUUUUAUAGAAGCCACUAUAGCAGUUCGGCUACCCCCAAACGUAGUGGUAGUAAGCUGAGCCCCUUAACCAACCAGAGAAUUAAAAGAAUGAAGGCUAAAAUCAAUACAAAAAAUCAAAAACUCCGAAAUCUCUGCAAUGAAUAAUGAUUCACAUUUAAGAUAUUACUUAUUUUUAUGUAUAUAUU